rnacentral:rRNA from 1 species
UACGAAGGGGACUAGCGUUGUUCGGAAUUACUGGGCGUAAAGCGCACGUAGGCGGAUUCGUAAGUCAGGGGUGAAAUCCCGGGGCUCAACCUCGGAACUGCCUUUGAUACUGCGGAUCUCGAGUCCGAUAGAGGUGGGUGGAAUUCCUAGUGUAGAGGUGAAAUUCGUAGAUAUUAGGAAGAACACCGGUGGCGAAGGCGGCCCACUGGAUCGGUACUGACGCUGAGGUGCGAAAGCGUGGGGAGCAAACGGG